rnacentral:rRNA from 1 species
GACAGAGGGGGGCAAGCGUUGUUCGGAUUCAUUGGGCGUAAAGGGUGUGUAGGUGGCGCCGUAAGUCGGGUGUGAAAUUUCGGAGCUUAACUCCGAAACUGCAUUCGAUACUGCGGUGCUUGAGGACUGGAGAGGAGACUGGAAUUCAUGGUGUAGCAGUGAAAUGCGUAGAGAUCAUGAGGAAGACCAGUGGCGAAGGCGGGUCUCUGGACAGUUCCUGACACUGAGACACGAAGGCCAGGGGAGCAAACGGG